ACUAUAGCCAUCGUCAUCGCUCUAUUUGUUUUAGUAUCCAUCCAGUAUAGGCUAUGGUAUAACAUGCUCCUUUGCUGCCCAUAAUGAUGGUUGCGCAAGUACUGAUAACAAAGCACUAGAGUCAUGGCCCCUUGAGAAUGCUUCUAGCAGAACUUAGAGCAGUACUACGCGCAAAGCGUGAUAAGAAUUUACUGCCAACUUCACUACGGGCCUUUUGAGAAUGGAAGACGUCUUUGACGUGUCCGGUCUUGUAAGCCAGUGGGCAGCACUUCUCGGCAACAUCUGUGGCGUCCCUCCACAAAGCAGGACUCACCUUACGGCCACGUCCACGGAUAAUAUCAUCGCCGGACUACGAGAUGCGUCACCUUCGGAGAGGUUGCAGGAGUGCCUGGAGGAGCUGCAGUGGCGUGCUCAAGUCAUCCAAGAACUUGGAUUCGAUGAAUAUCGGGAACUUUUCGUUUCUAGGCAUUACCGUCGCCGCACUGAGAGACCAUGCUCAGGGGUUCUCCGAUAGCCUGUUUGCUAAGGGAAUCACCGGCAUACGUAUCCUCUUCCUUUUACUCACGGUCGUGCGCCAUGUGGUCUACGACUGGAUUCUUUCUCACCGAAGGCAAGACAGCCCAGCAGAGGCGCUCGAAACACAGUAUGCAGAUGAACUGCGCGGAAGCGAACAGGAAGAAAGCAUCUACGUCGAAAGUUUAUCUGAGACGUCAUCAGAGCUGUGGCUAAGCGACGAGUUAUCCGAUGGAAUGGUUCAAUAGGUGCAUCUCGUACGCUGUAAUCUUACGAGCAAUCGAAGGAGUGCUAAGCGCUUUAAAGCACAAUAAAAUUCAGCAUGUGUCGACUCUA